GAACGCACAUUGCGCCCGCUAGUAUUCUGGCGGGCAUGCCUGUUCGAGCGUCAUUUCAACCAUCAAGCGCCCGCGCUUGUGUUGGAGCCCUGCGGCUGCCGCAGGCUCCCAAAACCAGUGGCGGGCUCGUCGUCGUACCGAGUGCAGUAAACAUACCACGCUCAGGGCACGCGACGGGUGACCGGCCGUAAAACCCCCCACUUAUCAAGGUUGACCUCGUAUCAGGUAGGAAUACCCGCUGAACUUAAG
rnacentral:misc_RNA from 1 species